AACGAACGCUGGCGGCAUGCCUAACACAUGCAAGUCGAACGAGACCUUCGGGUCUAGUGGCGCACGGGUGCGUAACGCGUGGGAACCUGCCCUUAGGUUCGGUAUAACUCCCCGAAAGGGGUGCUAAUACCGGAUAAUGUCUUCGGACCAAAGAUUUAUCGCCUUUGGAUGGGCCCGCGUUUGAUUAGCUUGUUGGUAGGGUAAAAGCCUACCAAGGCGAGGAUCCAUAGCUGGUCUGAGAGGAUGAUAAGCCACACUGGGACUGAGACACGGCCCAGACGCCUACGGGAGGGAGCAGAGGGGAAUAUUGGAAAAUGGGGGAAAGCCUGAUCAAGCAAUGCCGCGUGAGUGAGGAAGGGCGUAGGGUUGUAAAGCUCUUUUAAACGGGAUGAUAAUGACAGUACCGGGAGAAUAAGCACCGGCUAACUCCGUG
rnacentral:rRNA from 1 species